UACGUAGGGUGCGAGCGUUAAUCGGAAUUACUGGGCGUAAAGCGUGCGCAGGCGGUUUUGCAAGCCGGAUGUGAAAUCCCCGGGCUCAACCUGGGAAUGGCAUUCGGGACUGCAAGGCUGGAGUGCGGCAGAGGAGACUGGAAUUCCUGGUGUAGCAGUGAAAUGCGUAGAUAUCAAGAGGAACACCAGUGGCGAAGGCGAGUCCCUGGACAACUUCUGACGCUGAGGCACGAAAGCUAGGGGAGCAAACAGG
rnacentral:rRNA from 1 species